UCUUCAAAAUCAGCAGUUUUCUUGCUGUUUCUCUGUUGUUUUACCUCUUCUAUUAGAGUUUCUGAGGCUGACCACGCCACCCAGUUGCCUCUGAAAGGAGCAGAAGGAGCAAUGUUUUGUGCAUGGAGGUGGCCAACGCAACUUGGAAGUGAAGGGCUGCUCUGAGAGCAGUGGCAGUCAAUAGGAGUGUUUCACAUGCAUACCUUGAAGGAGAAUGUGACGCCUGAAAGAAGCGGUGACACAUGGAAACAGUCUGCAAUGGCACCGGCUGGAUGGAGGGAGAGAUAGAAACGGUGUGAAAAAUUAUUACAGGCAACAGCUGCAAGUCUCCAGGGCAGGAAGGGAGCGGAGAGCAGAGACGUUGCAGGAGAUAAGGGAGUACCGAGGAAGAUUGAGUGACGUGUUUGUUGAACUCAUGGCUCUGGGUAACUACAUUUGGGUUGGAUGCAGUUGCUGCCUCACAUCUGUGCUGUGUUUGGGGUCAGGAGUGCCCUGGAGCAGCAGUUUGAGUGCUGGAGAUAAGGUGGGGGCACACCUGUCCCUCCCCCAGCCUCAAACUGAUUGUGCACAACCCUUGGCUGCGCCCAGCUUGUGCCUUGCUGCCUAACGUUCAGGAAACCUGCUCUGAUGGUGUGGGAGGCAUGCAGUGUGUAACAGGCCUGGUGUAACGUGGUGAUGUCUGCAUGCCACUUGGGGAGGGAGAGAAAAUCCUCAAAGCCUUGUGACCAGCCCCGGGAUAGACUUCAGUGCCCCUGUGUGCAUGCAAAGCUUUGGAAAUUUCCAUUUUAAUAAAAGCAACCUUGGAGGAGCGUGAGCAAUAACCUGUCUGCUCUUUGGCACUGACAGUUCGGUUGUCCUGUAAAAUGAGAUUUUGCUACCCUAGCGCAGCAAUCGUGUUAUCAACUCCAGCCUACAUCGGCGUGCUUUAUUAGAAGACAGCAGAAAUAAUUCUUUGGACAUUAAGUGACGUUCUCGCUCCCGCUGUUAUCGGGGCGGCUGAGCGUGAUUAAAUCAGAUCCAGAGGGGAGC
rnacentral:lncRNA from 7 species